GACAGAGGGUGCAAACGUUGUUCGGAAUCACUGGGCUUAAAGCGUGUGUAGGCGGAUCGUUAAGUGUCUUGUGAAAUCCCACGGCUCACCCGUGGAACUGCUGGGCAUACUGGCGAUCUUGGGCCAACUAGGGGCAACUGGAACAAGCGGUGGAGCGGUGAAAUGCGUAGAUAUCGCUUGGAACGCCAAAGGUGAAAACAGGUUGCUGGGGUUGUGCCGACGCUGAGACACGAAAGCCAGGGGAGCAAACGGG
rnacentral:rRNA from 1 species